rnacentral:lncRNA from 1 species
CGCCUUCAGCAGCCCGUCCGGUGUAAGCGCCAGCGCAGAUGCCAUGGCUUCCAGGAGGCUGUGCAGGUCCUCGAAGCUAUCGAAGUUCUCGUUCAUGCAGAGCUCGCCGAGCACAACCAGCUCCCUGUGCAUCGGGUACCUGAGCGACGGGAUGGCCAUGAUUGAGUCCAACAGCUGUCUGUGCGGGGCUGCCGGUGGCGGGACAGUAGUUGCCACAGCUGCACAUCAAGGAAAAAUGAGGGUGCAUUAUGCAGGUAGGUCAUUUGUCACGAAAUAGCAGGGGUGUGCUAAUUCUGUAGGAACACACAGCUUACUAACGGUUCGGAAGACCAUGACCAUGCAUGGUAUGCAGUGUACCAAAGAAGCGCGUGGCAUUCUCGUAUAGAACCACUGCGGUAGAAGCCGUGGACUUGGCCGUUCAGCAUGCAAAAAGUCAGAAAGGCAUGCAGCUACCAAAGCCACCAGACGGCUUAGACUCAGAAAAAACAAGGUUUCAAUAUACAGCUUAAUAGUAACUCAAUAGUAGGGAUUAGACUCAAGUGCCCAGUAAAGGAACAAACAGCUUGCUAACAGUGAGGGGGUGUUCGGAUGACCAUACAAAUCGGUUAGGGGCCUUGAAGGUCUAUCAUGCAGGGAUAGAGACAUCGUGGAUGGACUACAAUAAUGCUCUUCGGCAAGCCGCUGUGGAUCAAUAUGUCUGACAAAUCCUGCCGCCUACAUACGUCACAAGAAUGACAAGUGAACGCCAGCGCCCCGCACUUGUGCAGAACGUGUAACUUAUAACUUUAAUGCAACAAUUUGACUCCUGGGUCUGCGCAAACCUCGCGCAAAAUAUGCGCUGACACUACUCACUGUGGCGGUGCAUGAGCUUAAAGAGCACCUUCUUCGCUUCGUGUAGCUGCUUCUCCUCAUCGCGCAGCUGCUCUUCCUCAUCGCGCAAGUCCGCUAAGCUGUCCCUGUCUGUGCACGUCGCUAUCUGUCCAGCAACGGCCUCAAGGGCACCCUCAACCGUGUCGAUUUCCGCCCUUAACACGUCCAUCACCCUCCCUAGAUCACGGACAAUAUUGUCACAGUCCAUGGCACACUCACGCGAUACAAUACUCUGCAGGACUAAAAUUAUACGAAAAGCAAGAGUUGAAAUCGUCUUCAGACUUGAGGAGCCGCGAAGGCAACCUUUUCAAUAGGAAAUCAUGGCUUUAUCUUUAACAUAUAGCUAAAAUCCAAACAUAGGCCCCAUAGGUCCGCGGGUGUUCCGUACUCCGAAAGUUCCGGUGAGACUAGAUGUGUCGAAUUGGCUGCGACAGAUAGAUUCCGCCAAGAAACCCGAUAUUGGCAGACAGUCAUACUGAGUCUGAGACCUGGGAUUGGCCGACAGGCUGACGAACGUGCUUUGCAAUCUUUGUGGGUCUUGAACCCUGCUAGUCUUAAAGCCCUUCCGCGUGUUACUCAUGAUCAUUUCUCAGACUGACACGUUUGUGCCUGGCGCAAGUGGUGGUGAGCACCCGCAUCGACUCAUGUUUUACCGGCCCUUCAUUCCAGCUGUGUCUUACAAUCCCUGCGACUAGUGAUCACCACCAGCUCGGUGACACAAGAAGUCAGUCUCAGGGCUAGCCUGUGACUUUAAACGCUUAUCUGCAUGUCCGAGCGCACGAAGCCACUGCUGCCAGAGCUUCGAGAGGAAGAAAUGUAUGUAGUGAAGCCAUAGCCACCGAAUGUACUACACGCAUUAGUACACACAUUUACGCAAUAACGUCCGUUUAUCUCUAAACAGCAUUAGGUGAUCUCACUAUGCCCCCAACGACCUUCGGACGAUCGACGAUCUUCGCAAGCAUGGUUAUAGUGGGCUCCUGUUCAGCAUAUUCGCUUGGGAAGAUGUUUUGUAAGGUGGUUACCAAGGAAAACACCCACAAUAACCACGGUGAAAAGGUUAAAAAAUCCACUGGCUGCACCGGGCCGAGCCCCUCUUCGGCUUUGGAAAACCGCCCCCCUAACUCGUUACAACAAGACAUUUUCCUUGAUGUAAUUAUGUUUAUAACAUAGGGUACCGUACUGCUACGAUGUUUUUGUGACACGCUUUUUGGGAAGCUCGAAAAAUCAUAGCCGAAUUACGCUAAUGAUUUGCAAUUUUGGUGACGAGUCUCGGAUAUAAUUGCAGUUGUGACACACAUUUCGGCGACGCUCCAGGGAGGUCCGAGCAGAAACCGCAGCAUGGUUACUGUGUUCAUUCGUUCGUUGCUCUGAGAGAACCGCAGAAAACAUACACGUAGAUGAAGCACAAAGAAGUCAAUUAGUUUAGGCACCACAGAGUUGGCCCCCUUACAAAACCCGCAAAAGUCCCCUCUGCCGCAAGGGGAGGAGCCCCAAACCCCGUCGUGUACAGGAAGGGCCAUAUACACGCGGAAAUACGCUCCAGAAGGGAUGGGGGGAUAAAGAAAAUCGCUCUCCAGCAAUCGUUUCCUUCAGCACACAAAACACACCCACCCACCUACCUUUCGACUCGAACAUUCACAACGCCGGCCGGUCACCGGCCACCCUCCUCAAAAACGUCGUCGCCUAAACUCUGCUCUGUACCAUUACCGCGCUUUUCAUUAACGUCGUACCGGUCAUACAUAGCUGAGCAGGUUCCCUCGAAAACCCACGUCACCAUCUGGUCAACACUGCUGUCGUGUGCGCUGUGGUUGCCGACACCGAAGACGAUUACAAGAUGCAACACCAACCGCCGCCGCGAGCACCGCCACCACCGGCAACAAACCGACGACACCCAGAAUCCAGGCCAUCCAGCCAUGGAGGAAACGACCCGACCCAGAGUCCGACCCACAUCAUCACAGAACUCAUCAAAUCUAUCAGCAUCACUGCAAAGUCCUCAACCACCGCAGCCUCCUAAUGUGACUUUCGUCGUGGGGCUCUUUCCGCUGGUGGCGGCCGGUCGGCUGCAGUUGGACCCUUCGUGGUGAAUGUUGCGGUACCGACACUCCCUCCAUGAAGGGAGGGAGCGGGGCCCGCAUUUGAAUUGAACACUUUCGCGCAGCUUCGCAGAGCAUGGGAGAGGGCACGGGAGCUGAUGAAGCCAGCGGCCACGGUGGCGGCCGUGGCGGCAGCGGCGGCGGCGGAGCUGGUAAAGGCGAUGGAGUUGUCGUCGAGGCCAUUCAUCGCGCCGCGGGGGGUUACGUUGGUUACUGGGUCAGAUGCCGGCGCCGUUGCUGUUCACGCCGGACGGCAAAUACGAUAUUUUAUAUGCUGUACAGCUCGAACUGGCUGCACGUAUGCUGCGAUAGUGCCGCUGCUAGAUUACCAUAGCCAUCAUCAUCAUUGCCGUCGCUACCAUGCAAAUGGUAUACAUCUAAUCUCUCACGGUUCCAUACGCUGUCGUACGCUAUCGUACGCUGGGGGGGGGGGGGGGAAGGCGCCCAGCAACAGGGGAUGGUGGUGUGGGGGUGCGGGGGAACGGCGCCGGCGACAUUACCAACAUGAUCAACAUAAUCAACAGCGGCAGCAGCAUCAAAGGGGGGUAACAGGCAAUGCGUCGGAUGAACCAGUCGCUGAGAGACCCUUUUCUGGCCACAGACACUGCAAAUGUGUACGGCAGUACGAACACGUACAUGUAGCGUUUCUUGUAUUGCUCUUUGUAUAUGUAGUAUACUACACUUCCCCAUCUAGUUGCUAAUAGCUAACACACACGCUCUCUCACACAGCGUGCGCGCGCGACGCCCGCCGCAUGCAAUUCAUGCAUAUUGCCUAGUCUUUUCUCCUCCGCCAUUUCGUUCAUUUCUCGUUUUUGUGCAGGUCUCACCUCCCAUCCACACUUACACCAACGUCAAGCAACAAUACACACAUCCCACACCAUGACCUACAUGCAUACACACGUGCAUGCAUACAUACAACUAUAUCAACUUGCGAGCUGACCAGGAACUAAGUUGAGGCGCCGUUGAUACGCUAGAUUUGGUUGGAUACUGGUGGUGAGUUGCUGAACCCAACGAAUACAUUCUGAAAUCGGAUGGGGUGAAUGGAUUAGGGUGCCCCUCGCGCAGGGGAGAGCAGGGACUGCCUCGGGAAAGGGGGCCGCUGGCGAAGUUAACCACCCUGUAACAACAAACAUACAUACAUACAUACAGGCAGGCAGGCGGCUGGCAGAGAUUAAGGCCUGACUUCUGCUCCCAGUCGACCCAGUCGACCCGGAUUCAAAUCCGCCUGCCGGCUCCUCGGGUGUUUAAGGAGUGAUGAAAUGGGAGCUGGCCCCCCAUCUUAAGGACGGUGUAGGACGUGAUAAUAUCAACUUGCGAGCUGACCAGGAACUAAGUUGAGGCGCCGUUGAUCCGCUAGAUUUGGUUGGAUGCUGGUGGUGAGUUGCCGAACCCAACGAAUACAUUCUGAAGUCGGAUGGGGUGACGGAUUAGGGUGCCCCUCUAGCAGGGGAGAGCAGGGACUGCCCCGGGAAAGGGGGCCGCUGGCGAAGUUAACCACCCUGUAACAACAUACAUACAUACAUACAUGCAUACAUACACACGUACAUGCAUACAUACAUGCAUACACGGCGGUGACUCCCUACCAGAAGCCCGCAGCUGCCAGGAAAUCCAUCCUGCUGCUGCUGCUGCUGCUGCUGCUGCUGCUCCGUCAGAUCAUCUACUUCGCACAGCUCUAGUGCCGGCAGCAGCUUCACAGCCGCCGCUUCACGCGGACCAGUGGACGCCGCCUUCACACCCGCCGUCGCCGCCGCGGAUAGUGUUGUUCCUGCUCCUGCUCCUAAUUCUGAAGCUGGAUGUAUCGCUGUGGGCGCGAUUGCUGCUGCUGCUUCUGCUGUGUUGGCCGUCGCCGCUCCUCCCGCCGCUGCCGCUACCGGUGAAGACUGCGGCAAUGGAGAUGAUGGUAGUGGCGUCGACAGUACUGAAGAUGGUGAUGGCAAUGAGCCCAGGGCUGGCAGAGAUGACGCCGACGUCGUCGUCGGUGGCGGCGGCACCGACAGCGAGUGUGCCGUAAUGCCGAAUGUGCGUGCCAGUACCUGCAUUGAAAGCCCCGAGCAGCAGAAACACAAAACACAGUCCUUUCUACACAUUUUUGUGCACGUUAUCUAUCUGAUAAAAAACACAAAAACCAUUGGAAGGACGUAUUGGUAACGAUGUAACAUAAGAUAUACGUCGUCGUUCAUUGUCGUACUAUAACUAUAACUGAUACACGCGUACCGGCAUAUUUCUCCUCCUUUACGCACCACACCUGCAACGCCUCGAUCUCGUACUCCGCCAAGUAGCGCAAAUCCGGUACGAUGUACGGUAACGCGCCCAGCGCCGCCGCCACCGCACGAAGCGAUGCAACGCCGUGGCGCGACGGCAUCAUUGUCGCAGGCCGCCGCACCGCGGGGUCCCUCUUCCCGUACCUACCGGCCACGACGCUGACACCGUCAACGAUGCCACCACUACCACCACCGCCGCUGCUGCCGCCGCCGCCGCCGCCGCCACGGCCAUCGCCACGGUGACGCAGGAAACGCAAAUACCGGACCCGAGUAGCCUCUGACCGCGGCCGCUUCCGGCGGCGGGCCCUAGCCCUACCCUGGCUGCCGCUGCUGUAUUCGUGUAACCUCAACUCCUCCUCAAGCUCUCCUUCUGAGUUUGAUUUCGACGCGGGUAUUCCGAUUGUCGCUGCGGCACCAUUUGGGGGUAGUCUUGUGCCGGCUGGUGACGGCAGCCUGGAAACCAAGUGGCGAACGAAGUGUACGGCCCAAGUGGCGGGCAGUCGAGCACCAGCUGCGGACAAAGCCAGCGAUAGCUCGCAUAACUGCUCUGUUGUGUAGUUUUGGAGCUGUGUACGGCUGCUGACGGCGGCGGCGGCGUGCCACGACACCGGCAAUGGCCUUGGCGUGCCCCAGGCGGCGAUUGAGCGCAGCCACAGCAGCAGCCCUGACGGCGGCAUGUACGGCACCAACUCCAGCCCAAGCCCGGCGGCGGUUAUGCACCAGUGGCGUGGCGGCAUGUAGUGGGGGAGUAGUCGCAGCAGUGCCGCCAGCAGGCUGCUGGCGGCGGGGACAACGGCGGCGGCGGCGGCGGCAGCGGCGCAAGCCGUCCCUGCAGCGGUGGCCACGGCUGCAGCGUCAGCCUUCGUAACGUCCCCUUGAGUUAAGAUAGCCGUCGGUACGGCGGCGGCGGCCGCCGCCGCUGCCGCCGCAGCGGAGCUAUGAUCCAGUCGGCGCCGUACAUCUUCCAACGCUGCCUCAAGCAGAAGUUUCAGCCAAUCAGCACGAACAGGCGGCGGCAGCGGCGGCGGCUUCGUAUCUGAUGGGCCCCCGGCGGCAUGGUGCAUGUCACGUGUUGCCGCCGCCGCCGCAGCAGCAACCUGGGAUGGUUGACUCGACGCUGUUGAUGACAUAUCGCCCCCCACCUCCGCUGACCCCUCCGCCGACCCCGACUUCAUCAUCGCGGGCACCAUGUCCGCGAGACCUGUCAAAAGUACCGAGAUAUCCUCCGCGCUAAAGUACGGCGGCGGUAGCGGAGCCACCAUUGCCGCUGCCGUCGCCGCCGCCCCAGCUGCCGCUGCCGCUGCCGACCCGCUCCAUGGCUCCGCUGCGUCCGCGCCCGAGCUGUGUUGCCUGCCAGCGGCGCCGGCGGCCGCGGAGAGAGUUGCCGUUGCCGCCACCAGCGUAUGGCCUCCGCCGGCUCCCGAUGGGACCACAUGCUGUACCAGCUGUUUCUGCUGCUGCUGCCGCCGCCGCCAUCCUAGCGACCGCGCGACGUCACCGCGAAUCACCGCCGCGACGUUGCUCAAAAUCCAGGUGAUCCACUCCGGCGACGGAGCAUAACCCAAAGCUCCAAGGCCUCGCACCACACGGGCAACGUCGGCGCCGUAAAGUGGCUCUCGUGGCGGCGGUGCCGCCGCCGCCCUUCCGAACUUCGCCUUUGGCAACUUCUUUCCGUCAGGACUUAAUCCCGAUUCUGCAGCUGCAGCCUCCGCUGAUACUGCCGCCGCCAGGACUCCGACGGCCCCAGCGGAAGCGCUCGUCAUGCCGUACCUGUGCGCUGCCGCUGCACGCCGCGCCGCUGACUCUUCUAACGCCGACGCGAUGACGGAGAGGAACAAUUGAUCUUCCACUCCUUUCCUGCGGCCACUACUGCCGUCGCUUCUACUGUUACUGCUGCUGCUACUGCUACUGCUACUGCCGCUGACAUCCGUGGCGUCAAGGAUGACGUCGCCGUUAACGCCAGCAGCGGCGGUGUGGACCAGGGCCAGACGAGCGGCUUCCUCCGCCACGGCGUUCCGCACGACGAUGCAUGUGGCGUCCAAGAGCUCCAGGGGGGGCCGCAACCGCAGCGCCGCCAGGGCCUAUCGGAACCAUCAGAAGUAGUGACCGGCGUGUGCAGGUCAGGUUAAUGGUUUGAGAGUACUGCCAACAUGACGUAACCUGAGCUAUGUAGCUAUGUUGUGUUGUGUAAUGUAGUGUUGUGUAAUGUAGUGUUGUGUAAUGUAGUGUUGUGGAGUUUUGUAAUGAUUUGGCGCAAUGCAAGGUUGGUUGAUUGGCGACAUCCCACCCGAAACUGCUCCAAUUGUAUAUGUAUUGACCCACCAUCAGCAUCUGGCCGAUUUCAGCAACCGUCAUGCGCGGCAGGGCGGAGUGCGCCGCGCCCAGAGCCGCCUGCCGCCAGGCCUCACCCAGCGGCGGCAGCAGCGGUGGCGUCCGCCGCUGACGCUGGCGCUGACGCCUCCUCUGUCCCGUACGCCGCCGGAUACCUGACCCAGCACCGGCGGUGGCUGUGGCAGCGACGGUAGCAGCAGUAGCGGUAGUAGCGGCGGAGGCGGUGUGCCGUACUGCUGCGAGUCCAGCGAGGGACGCUACCAGCUGGUCAGGCCGCAUAAGCCCCAUCUGGCCGGCGCUCUGGGCCUCCCAUGCGGCCAGCGUCGGGCCAUGGCUGUUGCAUGACGUAAAGAGGUAAUAAGGAGAGCGCGCACCAUGUCUAUUACAACAAAAGAACACGCCGUAUGUAUGUAUGUAUGUAGGCAGUAGGCAGGGUGGGUGGAGGGACGGUGGAAAAAAAUAAUAAGUGCAUGUGCAAAUGUCUUGCACUGUUAAGAGAUGGAAUGAAGGGAUGAAAUGAAUGUGAAUCGAAUCAGGAAUGAAGGCUCCCAGAGUGGUUCAAGCACCAGUAGCUGGGCCAGCUGACCAUGGCACGUGGUAUACAGACAUCGGCAAACGCUUCGGGAGUUUCGGGUCAUACCGAAACUCCCGAAAGCAGAAAUUGGGUCCCCGAAGCCGGCCGGCUUGCAGAACUAGGAUCAUACGCCGUAUACGAAUGUCAAACUAUUGCAAAAAACACUUUUUCAUUUCGCGGCCUUGUAACAGACAUUGUACUGGAAGACAGAAAUAGACCCGUUCCCGAAACCAGAAAUACCCCGUUUGCCGACGUCUGGUGGUAUCUGCCACGACACGAAGAACUACCAACCGAUAGAUAACUAACCGACAACGAACUUGUCGACUUGCCUGAUGCCCAUGCGUCCAAGCCCCGAGAUCAUGCACGUCAGAGCCCGAGGACCGAAAGAGGGCAUCUUUGGCAGCAGUGAGCUGCACACCGCCACCACCAUGCGGCGGAAGCCCGCGGCGUCCCUGCUAGCGGUGAUGGCGGCAGUGGCGGCGGAGGCGGCGGAGGCGGCGGAGGCGGCGGCACCACCCCGACUGGCGGCGACACCACUGGGCUCAGCCAUCCAGGCAGGAGCCGUCACCGACGGCGGAACCAGCGGCGGUGCCCGCGGCUGCAAGCUGGGUACAUGCCUGCAGAGCACCCAGUGGGGAGAGAGGGCGCGUCAUGGCAGUGGGGGCGAUGGUGGCGGCGGCGGCACCGCGGUGGGAGGUGCACCGGGCCGGACUCGGGGGUCAGGGGUACAGAAAACACGAAACUGAUGCGACAUUAAUGUGCGAAUAGUAAGCGGUGGAUCGAAACAGGGGUAUAGGAUGACGCGUAGGUUGUGACGUAUUCGUAUAGGGUGUGACGUUGCAGCCCCCGGGACCGUUCUCGGGGCCCAUCGGCACGAAGCCCAUCCACCAAUCCAUCUACGCCGCCCACUCUCUCUUACAGAAGUUGCCCGUCCCAACCCUGCGAACGAAGAUCUCGUCGCACUGCCGUACUUGAAAAAGUACGCAGCGGCAUGCUGGUCGAACAACGGCAGAUACCGCGGUAGUAGCUUGUGUGCCAGCUGCCUGCGCCAGUCCUUGCAGGCCGCCAGUCGCGCCACGAUCUUUGCUGUCAUGCGCGGGUGGGGGCCGUCGGGGCUGUCGAGAAAGAGCUUGCGGCGGCGGCGGAACCCCGCGGGGCCAGACGGCUCCAGGGUGGUGGAGCUGCUGCUGGCGAUGUUGGGCGCAGGAAGCCUAGACGUCGAUGAGCUCGGCAAUGAAGGCGAGGACGAGGUCUGGGACGGAGUGUUGGUGGUAGUGGAAGAGGAGGAAGAGGAGGAGGAGGAGGAGGACAGGGCAGCGAUACGCUCCGAAACCGGAAUUUCCUUCACGGACGUUGGGUCUGGAUUUGGGUUUGCAACUGGAAUUGGAUCGUGCGUCGGCCCUGGAUCCGGAUUUAGAUUUAGGUCUGUAGCGAUUUCUUCUUGUGAGUUGGUGUUCGCGUUCACCUGCCGCGGCCGCUGCUGCUUUUGCUGAUCCAGCUGAUCCAGCUGCUGCUGAUCCAGCUGCUGCUGCUGCUGCAUCUGCUGUUGCUGCAGCCAUCCGUCCUCCGUGUCAAGGAUCAGCUCCCUAAAGUACUGUGUUGUCGGUGUUGAUGUCGGUUUCAAACGGGCAAACCGGGACAAGGGUAAAAGGGAACCCGGCUUCCUAUUGUCGGUAAUUAAAGUCAACAUCCAAUCGGGGUUUGGCCCACGACGGCCUUAAGAUAGGAGCAAGGAGUCUAUGAGCCCCAAAGCGCAGCUGACACAGCGAUCUAGAACCCCCUUCACUUUUUCAGCGGACAUUUCCUCUCUUGCAUCUCCAGCUUUCACCUGGCGAAGGAAGCUCUUCGUCCCUGGACACAACAUCCGAAAAUCCAACUCCCCACAUCCUUACACCUCCGGUAUCGUAUCAACCCCUUCUUACGAUUAAUCCCGCAUGGCCGUGGAGACCUUACCCUACCUACAGGAGCUUGUAGCUGCUGGGCUUACCUCUGCCGCGCGCUUGGGCCGCGGUCGAAUCACCGGAGGUUUGGGGGAGCGUGCGAGUCGGCGAGCCUUGUUCACCUCGGCCACAUCGCCAUACUUGGCACGCUUGCUGGGUUUGCGGGCUGGCAGAGGAUUCACAUGGGAAGUGGUGCGCUUAAAGGCCUCUGAGCUGGUAAUGUGCUCUGGCCAGCCACCUAACAUUUCAAGACAGCUUUGGGAGCUGGCAAGGGAGUGAAGAUACAGGCACCACAAUUGCCGUACCGCACACCAGAGACUCCAACAGUUACGCGCAUGCGAUGUGUUCAGGUGGUUAUCACGACGUUUUAACAAGGCAUGGUGGAAAGGACAUAAGCAUGAGCCGCCCUGUGGUCAAUAUCAUUGGGUGCGCGACUGAAACUUUAGAAUCCCCGGAUUCCCCGGAGUCAUCAUGAGUGUUCACUUAUUUGGGAUGUCAAGCGAUGGAUAAGUAAUCCAGAGUUGAGCUAAUCUAGGUAAAUGCUUUCGCAUGAUAAAAAUGAGCCCCUGGAUGUUUCCUAUCAGCCGGCACUCUAAUUGUCGAACCAAUGUAUCCACAAUUUGUAUUGCUUAAUGCCUGUAAAUUCCGAAGAGAAAGGAAAGGUGGAGUAGUGUAUUCCGUUGUUCGUUAGGUUUUCGCAUAAGUGAAGGAUUAGCAUGAUUGCUUCUAGCAUUUGUGUAGGCCUCGGAUGAGUUACGCAGGAGCAUGGGUAAGUACAUUCAAGGGUGUUUACAGGAGGGUAGGGGGCCAUAGGAUUAGACAACCAAUAAGGGUAGGCCUCAUGCUCCAGUACGCUCAUCCUGCGAUUUUGUGUGACUCGGAAGUGUAGUCGAUGGUAAGCAACCAUGCAUUGGAUAGCUGCCACCGUCAACAGGACACUAGACUCUAACUGACGAACAGCAAACAACAAAUGGCCUCCGGACACGACUUCGGACGUUCUUUGUCUUUUUACGGAAUUUGUCAUGAGUGAUCCAAAAUGUUUGCCAAAGUACCCUAUCAGGACGGGAUCCGAUAUUUCUAAGAUACGAAGACGAAGCACCGACACUAAGCGCGACCAAGCGUUUGAACCUAUCCAAUCAUCUCCAAUAGUGCGAUGAAGCAUCCAGCUGUUGUGGUAGUAGCUGUAAAUAGAGCUGUUGUCAAUCAUGCUGCUUACAUUCCCUUGCGGAUCGGAAACUGCUGCCAGAUCUUGCCCUUCUAUGAAGACGGCACGAAGCGGGGGCAUUUGGUUACAUACAGGAGAAAGGGUUCACAAUGCAUUUGUGCGUCUGGGCAUUCACUGGUAUAAGACGACCCAUUAUUUCACUUAUACAAUACUCUUUAAGAAUCUACAAAUGCGAACGCCGUGUAUUGCACUUGCUCGUGUUCAAACACAACAGAUCACCAAAAGCAACGACAACGUUACGACAAACAGACGAACCAUGGCGGGGAAGCCCUGGCCCGCGUGAGGCGGUGGUAACACGGCAACAAUAUUAUGGCCACGCCAAAAGCACACAUAUACACCGAAACAAGCCGGAAAAGGACUGGGCAACACAACAAUCAGCAGCAGCAGCAACACCAGCGGCAGUCGCGCAGAUAUCAGCGCAAAGCAAACAGCGCAUAGCGCCAUGUUCAACUCACACCUCCCUGAUUGGAUUGAAAGAGGAGCCAACCUCGAUGGGGCUGGGGGAUGGGUGGGGCGGAUUAUAGGUCCUAGGGGGGAAAUUACCACCGUUGUCAAACGAGCUACAGACAACGAGCUAGAGAGCUGAUUGAUUAUUAAGAACGCACACAUGGCCCCGCUACUACAUCGCCGGUCCCGACACGUCGAAAUCGACAAAUAAACAAAUAAGAGCAGCGACACAUGGCGCCGGCGCCCUGAUCCAAUGCAGCCUGAUCAUACAGCUUAGCGCGCAGCGGCAGAGGCUCCAGCCUUCUUCACUCGCAAGUUAUUCUAGCGCAUGAAGCAGCACAGCUCAUAGCCGUAAGGCUCCAAACCAAAUCCAACAGGCACGUAACAGCCUCCAUGCAGCAAACAAACGCCGUGCAAGGACCCCGCCGCAAGAAAAGAUUAAUCCCGUUUUACGUGCGUUGCCCAAAACCAUCUAUUGUCUUCUUAGGUUUUGAGCACUCGCUUCACAUCGUUAGCCAACAAGGACUGCAACGAGCUCAUUCCAGCUGGGGCCGUACGUGCUGCUGCGACCGCGGGAAGGAGAGAGCCCAGGACCCGCUGAACCGCACGCAGGCAUACAUACGUACACAUAUACAUAUGUACGCAGCCGGAGGGCUCGUACACUCGCCAGUCCUCUAUCGCCAUGAGGUCUCAACCAUACCAUCAACUGGGCAACCGGAUGCAGAACGGGACAAGCUUUUCUUGGAGAGGUCAUUGUAGGAGUGGAAAUGCGCAAAAACUCAGGGGUCCCUAACAGACUCGCUGCCUGCCAGACAGCUUGACGGUGUUGAUUCACACAGCGGCGACACCGCGCGACUUGGUUCGCCAUUUGCCACACACACACACACACACACACAUGCACACAUACACACGUGCAUCAGACGUCUUAACUUUGUCUAUAGACACGACAUUUAGCUCAACAGCAACCGUUUCUACCAACAAAUUCAUCUGCGGCGCCACAAAUUCCCCCGAACAAGGGCCACAGGAGAGGCCACCAGCUCCGUCUCUUGCCACCGGCCGUACCUCCGCGCUCCAAACAGCCAAUCACCGUUUCGCCAUCCAUUGCCAUUGCCGCCCUCCUCGCAAUCGCGAGGGGAAAAAAGGUACUUGAAGAACAUACCAUACAAGUACUAGUAAAGCCCAUCUUCGCCUCCCCAAACGUCCAUGCCAUGCAUUGCAAUGAUGCAUGCAGAAUACAUCAUCAUAUACAGACUCCCUUCAACCUUCAUUCACGACCUCGACCAGGCAAAUAAGCAGAGUCAUCCCCUCCCGAACGUUACCAGCACCCACUAACGUCGUAUCACAGACCGCCGGGCCAGCCCAGAGGAGGAACCCUUAUGCUAUUCACUGUCGCCACCCCGCGAUGCAUUGACCUUGUCACGGUCAACACUCGAAGGAGAGCACAGCGCAGCUAAUCAGGAGCGGCAACCGACCUCGCCCCCAGUAAUUAAAGAACAGAACGGAAGGAAAAGAAAGCCCGUGGCCUAUAGCUGCCCCCCAGUAACCGUGUCGGCAGCAGCUGCAGCCAAGCCCACUGCCACAUCCUCGACCCUGGUCAUGAAAUCAUCCAGCCGCCAGCCAAUGCCGCAUUUUCAACUCGUCACCCUCGAUGGCAUCACACGAAACACCCUGAGAGACCAUUACGCACCCCAGAAGUACAGCCGCGCCUGUGGAAAGACGCGCGAGAAUAUCGAGCACAACGGGCUGUACUACCCGCGAGGUGAGGGCGGGAUGUCCAAAUUUGAGCAUUUGAGCAGAGCCAAAAGCUGUGGUCACGCCUAGAAACAUCCUUCCACAGCAUCCUGCCCUGAAGCAACGUUGCUCUAUGCUUGCUGCACACGCCUUCCUUUCUUAGCUUAAGUAGCGCCCAGAGACCAAACUGUCAUUAAAACGAAAACGCAGCUAUGUGGCUCAAUCCACCUAUAUGUGCAGCUGCGAAUCUCCACGUGUCAUCGGCUUACAGAACAGGUUUUUUUCCCCAAAUCCCAGUUCUGAAGCGGCAGAAGCGAUCCGGCCCUCCUCUACAGUUCUCAUGGCCGGCAUCAGGGUAACGCAGUCCCUAAUCCCUAAUCCUAACCACCAAUUAGCUCUCGAUCCUCGAAAAUUGCCGACCCAAUCCCGUACAUCCUCCAUGCCAGGCAAAGCACAAAACCGUUUCACAUCAUUAGAUGGCCUUUGGAAGCGCGAGGCUUCAAAAAGCCACCAUGACAUCACUCCAAUCAUCUUCGACAUGCAGCGAACUCAACCUUCCUACGCUCUUGAUGGAUCACGCCACCGCCAGGAUGCGGUUGCCAUGGCAGCCUUGGCAUAACGCAGUGAUGGAGAAGACAGUACUGUGCUGCCGCGAGCUGCACACUUCACCCGAGUCCGAGCGCAGCGUUGGGCGCGCUGUGCCGCAGCAGCACCCGCCACACCUGUCCGCUGCACCCGUGCACUCCGCCUCCAUGCACAUUCGCCGGCGGCCACACUCGUUGCAUGACGCCAUGAUAGAGAGUAGCAGGGGCGGCAAUGUGCAAUGGCACAUUUCACACGGGUCUAGCUCCGCACAGCAGCCGUUUUUGGCUGCAGUAGCAGUGUUAUUGUGGCCAUGGCCUCGAAGAGCUGGUUUAACAUCCUCAUUCUCCUCGGCCUUGCAGCCCAUCACCAUGGCGGCUGCGUUGGCUCCGCAGCGGCUGCGGCGGCCAGCCGGUUGCGCACCGGCUCCCACGGCAUUGUUGGCACCUGCAUGCUGGUCGAUCUGAUGCAGGCCGCCCAAGAUCGCCAUAAGGCUAUCAACCUGCAGCGGGUGAGCGCGCAGGCAAAGCACCCAGACCGUAAGCGUCAUGACUGCGCGAGCACUGAGCUCGGAGCUUCGCACGUGUGCCGCCGUAACACCGGCAAGGCCAGAAAGCGCUUGUAUGGACAGCACAUGAGCAUAGGUACAAAACAACACAUGGCACGUCACAAUGGAGCAUCCCACAUGCGGCCAAAGAUCCACAAUCUCGGAUUGCAUGUGCGCGCCUGCCUGAUACCGUACCUGGUAGUGGCCCAUUUGGAACGCCAGGUGGAAGGGUGUGACGCCGUUGUCCGACUUAAGGUGCGUAAACGCCGCUGGCCAACCGCAGUGAUCCAGAAGCAGUAGCCCCACGCGCGCGUCGUCCAGCAUCGCCGACAGGUGAAGCGGCGUGAUGCCCGCAGGCCCCGCCGCAUCCACACGCCAUCGGUAGCCAUGGCUGUCACCCCAGGCCAGCAUGCCAGCCAGCAAGGGAAUGCUUCCGCUGCGCACGGCCCGGUGUAACAGCGUUAGACCUCGCUUAUCGCCCGAAGACGAGCUGGCACUCGAGGCCGAUGACGGCACGGAGGCGGCGUGGAUUGCUGCCACCAUUUCAGAGGCGCACGAACAGCGGGCGCAGGCUAGGGGCAGCACAGCAGAGGCGACGGCGGCCCAGCCCAUGUCGCAGGCGAUAGCUAGUAGGCGACGUGCCUGGGGGAAGAGGGGUUUAUUGGCACAACGGGGCGGAACACGUCGGGAGCUGGUGCAGGCGGCGGUGCUCGGCAGCAGAUACAAUAAGAGGAAACGGAAACCAAAAUUACGCAAAUAGUCUGCUUGCACCAGCACUCCAUAUGUGCGACCGCCUGCUGGGGAACAACCCAGUGCAGCGCACGGCGGUCCGUUGUGGCCGGAUGGCCCCCUGCAUUGGGGUCUUUCUAGGCCUCGCGCUGUAAUACUUAUCACUACUACCUGAAACCUGAAACCAAAAUUUUACGCAGCGCCGAGGGCAUGACGUACCUUCAGCGCGAUGGCAGCAUGCGGCAGCUGAGCACCCGCGCCCUGCUCCCCAGCAAUGUGCUGCAACACGAUGGCCAUGUCCUGCAGCAUCAGCUCGACAGUUUCCUGGCUCAGCGGGCCGUAGCGGACAUCCAGCCUGCAUGGCAGGACAUAACGAGGCGGAAGACGAUAAGAGUCGGAAUCUUGCCUUGCUGAGGAAAAGCGAGCAAGCACGCACACGCACCAUAUUCUUCGAUGCGUCCAAAAAAAAUGCUGCAUAGGACAUAGAGCCUAAUAAUCAUCCUAUUCGUCCCGAAAUUUGUCGAAACGUACUCAACAGGAGAGGUGUAAAGUAGCAAGAUAUUAAGCCAAGUCCAAAAGGACACCCAAUAACCUCCAUCCGUCAUGGAAGUGCCUUGACCAAUGCUUUCGCAUCGUCACCAGCUAAGGCAACAUCCUAUCCCCCUUCAUCUUUCCCGCAGGCAAAGCCCGACAUCCUCACAGCCUCACUUGUUAAUUUCCUCCACCAGCGCCUCAUUCCGCGCCACCAGCAUCUGCUUGGCGGGGCUGAGGUAGGCGCCACGCAUCAGUUCAACCCACACAGGGCCACACAGCUCCGGCAAAGGCGGCAGACGCACGAUGGCUCGGUGCGCCGAUAGCGGCUGCAUGUGCGCCUUCAGGUGCUGAGCGCCCCAGCGCACAAUGACCUGGUACAGGGUGCAGGCAACCAAGCCGAGUUAUAACCUUAGGACUUCAAUUGGGCAAUCCUAACGACAGAAACAUACCCACUCGAUUCGCAUUCCAGCAUCCAUAUCGGAUACCCAUGUCCCCUCUAGGAGGCCUGCUCAUCUCUUUGCCCAUCUAUGCACCCACGUCCCCUUGCCUACACUCACCAAGCAAUUUGGCGCGUCCAGGUGCUGUCCGUGCAGUUUGAGCGUUACGGGCUGGCCUGCCACAGCCGCCAGCGGCCCAAGGCGUCGAAUGACGGGGAACCGCCCAUCACCGUUGGCACUCGCUGCGUCACACGACACACGCCCGUCGCGAACCAGCAUAAUGUCUUCGUGCAGCUGCAGCGUGUACAUGCCAGUGUGCCAGAACGGGCAGCCCGUACGCGUCAGCAGAUGCUGUGCCAAACUGCCAAGUGCUCCCGGUGCCAUCGCCUGCGCCUCGCCCGCUUCGUCAACCAGCAUCUGCACCGUCAGAAACACGCAGCCCGGCCGAAUGGAGGCCUCCAUGCCUGCUGGCGCCGACGCCAGCCAGCUGUUGACCUGGUUUCGGAGAUCUGAGGGCAGGUCGGCUGGCGUGCGGUUGAACAGCUUCAUGGACAGGCGGAUCAGCCUGUGCUCGCUCUCGAAGGCCGGAGCGAACUCAUUGCGGGCACCCAUAAUGUCCCGGGCCAGGGCAUAGGUACGGGCCUGGUCCGAGCCAUCGCUUGACGAAUCAGCGGGGCUGCCGGAACCCAGGCCCACCCCCAAGCCCAACCCCGGCGCAGGGUGUGAUGCAGGCAAGGCAGGGUGCGUUGGUACUCCCAGCAGCAGACGCAGCGCGUGGAGCUGCGAAGGGUUCUGCAUGAGACACGUCAGCAGCUUGCCGACAUCGCCGUCAAAGGAGGCAGUAGCGCCGCCGUUGGCGGCAGCUGCAGCGCCGCAUCCGACGGCGCCAACGGCGAAUGGGUCCACGGCCGCGGACUUGCCCUUGGCCUGUUCAGCCUGAGCGCGGCGGCGCCGCCGGGCGUUGUGCUUGGAAAGCUGGUCACGGCAGCUCUUGCGGUUGCCAUCAAAGGCGGUCAACUCGUGGAAGCGACCGCACUGCUGGCAGAAGCGCUGCAAGCGACCGUCCUUCAUUACCUGCGGAAAUUACCAGGGUGCACGAGAGACAUGGGCAGGGCCCAUCGUCACAAAGUAAGCAGCUCAACACUUCGUAGCACAGAGCACCUAGCGAAAGGAACCAUAGCAGAGAAAAUAAAUACGAAUCGCUGAACCUCCGCGCGAAGAUCCCGAAUUCCCAAUCCCGCAGCCAUCCCAGCCAGCUGCCUCACCUGCUGCAGUUUAAUGUGCACAUCGCAGAUACGGUACCGCUGGUGAUACUCCUUCAAACCAGACAAGUCCUUGCCGCAGCCGGGCACCUGACAAACCAUGAGGCCGUUGUCAUCGCCCACAUCAUGCAGGGCAAUCACAUCACCCAGGUACUGGUGUUGCUGAUGGUGCGCGCCAUUGCCGCGGUUAUUGCCCAAAGGGCCGCGACGACCAACCUCAUCCUCAUCCUCACUGUCACUGAUGGCGAAGUCCGAAAGGUCGCCGCCCACCAUAGCGCCAUCGGCGCCACGGCCGCCAGUUGCACCCGUCUGAUGGGCCUUAUUGGGUAGCGGCAUGCUAGCCUUAUUUGAGCUGUCCGCCUGCUGCCUGCCGCCGCUGCAGGUAGGGCCGCCGCCGCCGCGGUUGCCGCUGCAGCACAGCGCCUUGGCAUUGUCAGCGCUACCCUGCAGCGAGCUGGUCUCCCCCGAGGAGCCCAGCGCGGGCGAUGGCACGGACGAAGGCGGCAGCGCCAUGCUGGCCUGCUGCUGGAAUACACCCGAGGGCGUUGGAAAGCCAGAUGCCGGCAUGGACAGCGCCGGAGCACACUGAGCGUGUGAACCUGGGAAAGGCUGCAUGGGCAUACUGGGCAUCUGCAGGGCCAUCGGCUGUAUACCCCAGCCCAUGCCGGCCAGAGGACGACCAGUGCCGCCUGUCAUGCUUGUGAAGAAGCCGGGCAUGUCCACGGCUGCCGCCAUAGCCGCUGCAGCAGCUGAUGCAGCUGGAGAGCUCAUAUCGCCCAGCCCAGCCCAACCCAUGCCAGCCGGCAGUGCCAUGCCCAUAUUAACAUUAAGCAUUUGUGGGCCGGUAGCUGCUACUGGUGCGGCUGCGGGAACAGCCGCAGGCGGGACCAUGGCACCCGGGCCAUGGCACAUGCUGCUCACUGCGCAAGUCUCAACAACUGCUUUCUGUGGAGCAAGGCUGUUCAUAGCGGCUUGAAGUGGCCCCGUCAGCUGCUGCAUUGCCUGAGUCUGGUUGGGCGUGAAACUGCAGCAAGCUGCUGCCGCAGCAGGGGGCUGGCCACCAGCACGAAUGCUACCACUCGGCCCUUGGCAACAUGCGCCUUGCUGUGCCUGUUGUUGGGGCUGUCCUUGGGCCGCGGCCGUGUUGUCUACCUUGCGCCGCUUCAGGGCCUGGCAGCAAGCAACGUUCGGCGUCUCCUUAGGCGCGGCGAACAUGUUGAAAGGAUCCCAAUUCCAAUCUUCCACAGCCCAUGUUUGGUCGUCUCCUGUAAUUAUUUAAUACCGAAUGAUGACUUGCUGCGUCAUGAUCUCUUGUCACGUUUUCAUGACGACCCGCUGGCUGGGCACCCUGGCUGCACCCGUCUGGUCGAGGUUCUCCAUCGUCAAUUCUGGUGGCCUCGGAUGGCUAAGGACGCUGAGAACUAUGUCCAGAACUGUGAGCUGUGCCAACGCAAUAAAGUCCUGUCUGGUAGCCCCACGGCCUCCUGUGUCCCUUGCCUGUGCCGGCCGCCCCUUGGGAAAGUGUUACCAUGGACUUUAUUGUAGCUUUGCCCAAAACUGAGGGGGGGUUCGAUGCCGUUUUGGUCAUGGUAGACCGACUCACGAAAAUGGUGCACCUGGCACCUACGGUAUCAUCCUGCACAGCUGAGCAAACUGCACAUCUGUUCUUUGACAACAUAGUGCGUUUGCAUGGUGUCCCCAAGAACGUUGUGACCGACCGCGGAUCGCAAUUUGCCAGCAGAUUUUGGGGCACCCUGGGUGAUCUGUUAGGCAUGCGUGUUAACCUGAGCACCGCCUAUCACCCACAGACUGAUGGACAGACAGAACGUACGAAUCACACUCUUGGCGAUAUGUUGCGCAAUUAUGCCAGACGUACGCCUUCUGUCUGGGACACAUAUCUAACUGCUGCUGAAUUCGCAGUUAAUAAUGCUGUGAAUCACGCGACUGGCAAAAGUCCGUUUUUCCAAAAUUAUGGAUACAACCCUGCCUUGCCUGUUUGGCGGGAGUUGGACGUCAACUUGCCUGCAGCAAAGACGUUUGCCAAGUCCUUUGUGUCCCGACUGACUGACGCUAAAUCUUGCCUCGAAGCUGCACAGCAACGUACGGCGGACUACUUUAACAAAUCCCGACGUGCCAUCACCUUCUCGCAGGGCCAGUUGGUGAUGCUGAGCACUAAGAACCUGAGGUCCCUAGCGGAUGGUUCUCGUAAGCUUUUACCUCGUUGGGUGGGACCAUUUCCUGUCGUUUGCAUGGUUGGGUCUACUGCAGUCGAGCUGCAACUACCACCUGACAUGCGCAUCCAUCCCACAUUCCAUGUCUCUCUAGUCCGACCUUUCCGUACUACUGACUCUGCUGCUGCGCUUCAGCCAAAACCUGCUCCUACUGUCACGGAGCCAGGACCAGUUACUUGGCUUUCAGGCAAGCAGACAUUUUACGAGGUUGAACGGAUACUGGAUUACCGUUCCCGAAAAGUAGGCAGAAACCGCCGCCGUAAGCGCACUGUGCAUGAGUAUCUUGUCAAAUGGGCUGGGUACUCGGCUGAGCACAACAGUUGGGAACCAGAAGCUAACUUUACCCCUGACCUAAAACCUCUGCUGGAAGAAGCACGGCAACGAGCACGGGCAAGGUAAGAUUUGCGGGUUAAAGGUAAGUGUUUAACUCCCGCUUUUUGGCCCGAUUUUUGCUCUGCCAGUUUCUUGCCAUGCAUCGAGGACGCUGCAUCUAGAGGGAGGAUAGUUGUUGUAUUCCGCUUCUUAAAUCUGGGCCCAAACUGAUACAUUUUUCUGUCUAAUUUUUCCUUUCUCGCUUGGCGCGGUUACUGGACAAGUUCGCUGGAACUAACUGAAUUCCAACUGCCUAUUUUGCCGCUUUUCUGUCAGAUCUUUAUGGCUCCGACCUCUGGGUCAGACGGCGAGCGGGAAGCUGUCAUGGAUGCCUACAAGUAAACGCCGCCUCAGGCGGAAGUCCAUACUUGCAGUAGUAUGGGCGGGGGUCGUAGCACAGGCUACGACUGGGACGCUGGUCCCUGGCUCGCGGAGCCCUGUCAUCGAUUGGAAGCAUGGAUCAACGGUACGCCAUUCCGGGACUGGACCGCGCCUUUUCGGAAUUGGCUGUACGAUUCAUGGGAUGGCCGCAUCCUCCACUAUUUAAGCGGGCGAAACUCUUCCAAUUCGGUGUCUUCUGACGCCACCAUCCAGUUGUGGUUUAGUAAGAUACAACAGUAGCCUGCCCCUGACAGCCCAGAGUAGUCCCCUCCACCACCUGCUGGAUCUACAGCCGCCAACACUGCCCUGUGCUCCCUGGAUGCCAGGUACCCCCUGGACCAUUAUCAGCUGCACAUGGUGCAUAGCAGUCAGUGGUGGCAGGUAGAGGCACCCUCAACAGGGUAGCCGCAGCCCUAUUGCUGCAGAUGGUGCAACGAGCAAGUGCUGCACAUGCAGGCGUGGUCGAAGUGUGGCUGCCCGCAGCCCUCCCUGGCCCCACACCCCAUGCCUGCCGGUGGUGUGAACCAGUGGCCCACGCUGACUACAGCCUGCCACUGGGCCAGGCGCACAGGUGUGGAUAUGUCAGCCAUUGCCAUUACACCACGCCCUUCACUGCUGCUGCCGCCACACCGGGUGCCACUGCUGCCACCACACUGGGCGCCACUGCUGCCACCGUGCUGGGUGCCGCUGCUGUCACCAUGCUGGGCACCACUGCCCUAUGGCAUAAAACGAGGGGUAACCCCCCCUUAAGCAUAACCCAGGGGUUAGGGGUAGGGGUAAGGGUAGGGGUAAGUGGUUACCCAUGUGGCUAUGUACAAAGGGGGGUGGGUAACCUAACCCCGGGGUAGGGGUAACCCCUUACCAAGGGGUAACAAAGGGGUCAGGGUAACCCCUUACCAAGGGGUAACAAAGGGGUCGGGGUAAUAUUGUACUGAGGGGUAACAGACAGGGUAACCAGUGCUUACAAUUGUUCCUUGUCCAUAUGCCGGGUCAUAUGCUGGCGUCAAUGGAUUGUAAGCAUGUCCCUGUCCAACCUGCCUACACAUGCUAUCACAGCUGUCUCAUCCAUCUAUGUGAGCAUGUAUGCCUAUUUCGCCUGUCUAUGUGUGCAUACAUAUGUGCAUGCCUCUCUAUAAACUUCCAUCCAUGCAUAUGCCUGUAUCGAGCUCACAUGUCUACACAUACAAACAUACAUUUAAGGCAGGCGGCUGGCAGAGGUUAAGGCCUGACUUCUGCUCCCAGUCGACCCAGUCGACCCGGAUUCAAAUCCGCCUGCCGGCUCCUCGGGUGUUUGAGGAGUGAUGAAAUGGGAGGUGGCCCCCCAUCAUAUGGACGGUGUAGGACGUGAUAAUAUCAACUUGCGAGCUGACCAGGAACUAAGUUGAUGCGCCGUUGAUCCGCUAGAUUUGGUUGGAUGCUGGUGGUGAGUUGCCGAACCCAACGAAUACAUUCUGAAGUCGGAUGGGGUGACGGAUUAGGGUGCCCCUCUAGCAGGGGAGAGCAGGGACUGCCCCGGGAAAGGGGGCCGCUGGCGAAGUUAACCACCCUGUAACAACAUACAUACAUGUUCACCAAACACUUUGAGUGUACAAUUGUAAAGAUUGCCUCACCAACACAAGCCUUGCAGGGUUGUAGAGCCCGCCCAUGGCCCCAGGCUUGGUGUGUGUAUAAACUCGCUAAUUACACCAACGUCAUCAUAUCAAGAGAAAGGAAAUCAGACCCAGCCAACAGAUUCAGUUCACUUAUGAUCUGAUGUACGGCUCCAUACACAUGUCUCACUAAACGAGUUGCUGACUCCGAUAUUUGAUUAAUCCGAGGUCUCCCACCACAGGGACUCUAGAGUCCAGACCUAUUUUGCAUGCACGGAAAAGAAAUGGCAAAAUUUAAGGUUAUGCUUAAUAACUGUCAUACGACAGAAACCGGGAGGAUAGCUAUAGGUGGUAAUACACAUAUCAGCUGCAGGGUUUUAACAUUAGCUCGUGGGCCUUGCCUGCCCCAUUUACCUCCUGCGGUAUUUCAACCCCUGCUCGAUGAUCAACAUGAAUGGCAUGCAUACUCUCGGCGGGGUCAUCAAGGAGGUCGUGGUCAAGGGUGUGCAGGGCCUCCGCAUUGCCAAGGCAAGCACCCGUCUGAGGCAAGCAGUGGCUGACUACAAUCAGAACAAGGGCCCAAACCCUGGCCGUGCUGGUAAGGAACUCAUAUGACUUGCCCAUUAUGCAUGAUGAAUAACUUAAGGGUUAAUGCAAUAACUACUAGUGGACUAAUUUACACAUGGACCUCCCCAUCAUAGGCUCUACUAUGGAAUUCUUACAGGAGACACACUAAUCUGUAAUGUAUGCAGAUGGUGCCCAGCUGGCCAGGAUCAGGGCCGCACUGCAGGAAGUCGUACGGGUGACACCAGCGGCUCUCACGUCUAGACUCCAGCGCCUUACCGGUGCAGGGAAGGCCGCCAAGACGCACACUUACUUUCUGCUUGCCGGUCCCAUCGGCUUGUACGUCAUCACAUCUGCACGAUUUCCUGAGCCUGUACAGGAGGCAUACCUGCGGCUCCUUCAGGCAUGUGGCGACUUGUGGCAGAAGGUGUUAGAAGGGUGAGACCACGGGCAGGUUUAAAUUUGUGUAGAUGUAUCCCAAAAAUGUGGUGUGCAUACAGCGAUCCACCAGACCCAUGCUUAGUCUCCUCUGUCUGCUUUCUUUUCCUGUUUUGUCAUGCUGCUUGCGCAGGGGUGAGGUGGACGCCCUUGAGCAGCGCGUGGUGGAGGCUGUAUGCCUAGUCGAGCUUCGUCUGUCCGUGAAUGAGAUGGACAUAAAGCUGCACAACCUGUUGCACCUGGUGGAUUCCAUAAAGAACAUCGGGGGAGUUGCUCAACAUUGUGGACAUGUUCUGUGACGAUUUUGGGAUGCGCCCAAAUGUGUCGAAAUGUGAACGCCUCGUUUUUGCGAGUGACAGCAACAUUAGGAGUGCUGUCCAAGCAUCGUGUGAUGAGCUCAGGCUGGCUGGAGAGGCCAUACCGGCUAAGGAUAGUGCGUGAUAUCUGGGGUUAGUGUAUGGGCCGGAACGGCAGUUCUGGGCCUGCCGCCAGCAGUUGUAUGACACAGCUAGAGCAGCUAUGUUCGCGUUGAGUGCAAAAUUAGAUAAGCUGAAGUUGUUCGCCCCAGAUGUGAGGAUGAGGUGUUUCGAUACGCAGGUACGAGCAAUACUGUUGUAUGGUUGUCAAGCGUGGGGGCCGUUUAUGCUAGCUGAGGUCUCGGACAGGCUCAGGAAGCGGAGUGAUGCGAAUAACCUUUCAGAGGGGCCCUUCGAGGCGUGCCUAAAGGACAGGGCAGUGCAGCUUCAGAUAUCUUUCAUGCGGCAAAUUGUAGGAGCUGCCAGACCAACACACCGCCUCUUGUUCGCAGAGCUAUCGCAGCUACCCCUACACUACCACGUUCUCAAGCAGGUUGUGAGGUUUUGGAACCAUGUCCGUUUACAGCGUGGGUCUGUGGCAUACCAAGUUUUGCGACAGGAGGUCGCAGAAUCCCUCUCCAACCCCGAAGGGCCCGGAUGGGGGACACUACUCCUCCGUUUUCUAUGUUUUUUGGGGCACGAUGUAUGGAAAGAGGCCCCGCAAGGGCUACACGAGGUAGACGAACGAGUGGAGUGGCUGAUGAACAAGCCAAUGCCAGAAGGUGUGAUUUCGGAGUUCAAGGACCGAUUAAUGAGUGGUUGGAAGCAUACACGUUUAGAUGUCCAGCCUGACGUGUAUCCGUCAGACGGCAAACAACCAGGAAUUCACAUGGCGAAGUAUAAGCAUUGGAUGGGGCUGGCGGCCGAGCAAGCGGGCAGGAAGGAGGUGCUCCCGCACAUCACAAUGUUUAUCCCACGUUCGGCGAAUCGCAAGCUUAUGCAGUUUAGGCUUUGCUGUUGGGCACUGGCGGCUAACAGAGCGUGUAAGGGACGGCGUUAUAUACCUAGGGAGGAGCGAGUAUGCCCCUGCUGCGGCACUGAUAGCCACAUCGAGGAUGAGAAACACAUUUUGCUGGACUGUCCGGUUUACGACGGAAUCAGAUCUGAUAUGGGCUUUCCACGCUUCGAACAUAUGAAGGACGCUAUGAAGUGGGAACCUGAACGCCUGGCAAGAAUGCUGGAACGUAUAUGGUCUCACCGCAACUCUAUCGUUCCCUUUGGUCGUUAGUAUACUUCAUUACUUGUUUCGUUGGAAGUGCGAGGUAGGAUGGUGCUUAUAGGCGAUUUGGCAGCCCUUGAGCCCUCGGCUCGUACUAGGGUGGUUUGCAGGUACGGGGAAUGCACCCACGACCAUGUAACAACAACAACAACAUAAAGAACAUCGGUAAGGAAUGUGCCACAUUGUGUAGGCCAUGCCGUGUUCAAUGCACUGUGAGACAUGUGAUGUGCUGUGUGCGUCAAGAUGUGGGAUACCGCACACACACUGUACUGCACUCCUGGCACUCCUGCCUCCCAAGGGCCCCUUUUUGCGGCAUCCAUGUUCCCGCCGGAGAGUAUCUGGGGCCAGCUAGGCCGUUGGGUGCACAGCAAGGUGCACAUGGAGCCCUGCAUGUUCUUCAACAUGUUGGACAAGGAGGUUGUGCUGCAUCUGAGGGUGUCAACUGCAGCACCCCCAGCAGCUGACAGCGAAACAGCCCCUGUGCCGCUAACAAUGUGGCAGCCUGAGGACUUUCUUCUCCGCCGUGAGCACCCAGCUUACCUGGGCCGGGUGGAGCGGAUCAACACACUCAGUGGCUCGCAACUGGCCUCAUUACAGAGUUUUUACAACCUGUACAGGCCGGCAGCUGCUGAAUGGCCAGCCAACUGUGUGAUUGAGGCGACAGCCAAGUUCCUCCGCUGGGCCUGGGCUGACCUGCUGGCGCUGGAAGCUGGAAAUGGUUUCUCUCUCGUCCUGCCCCUGAGGAUCCAACCAUGUGGUUUGGGAGGGUGCAGGGCAUCAUCGCUCAUGUUGGACCCGACGGCCGAGAGUGUGUCGUGCUGAUGGCGGAUUGGUUCCCCGCAACAGUUGACACGACCAUGCAGUGCCCAGUGGUGUCGAGCAUGCCAGUCGUUCACCCUGAUGGACCAUGGUGGUUCAUGGAGACUGUUGUGCCGUGGGACUGCUGGGCUCUGCCACACCCCAGGCGUGCUGGAUCGCAGGUCCUCCUGGCAAGGCACUGGCAUAUCACCCGCCACCUGCCACCAUAUCCACGUCUGUGAGAAUCUGUGCCUGGUAUGCAUGCAUGCAUGGAGAGGGUUCGGGGUCGAGGAUCUGGACCAUACUAACUGGGCCAUUGGCAUGCGAUACACGUGUGGCAUGUGGCAUAUGCCCGUAUACCGCAUUAUGGGAGGGAAGGAGGCGGCAAGGGAUAGAGGUGGCAGGGAAGGAGGCGGCAGGGGAAGAAGGCGGCAGGGGAAGAAGGCGGCGGGGAAGAAGGCGGCAGGUGAGGAGCACCAGGGGAGGAGGCGGCAGGGGAGGAGGCGGCAGGGGAUGAAGGCGGCGGGGAAGAAGGCGGCAGGGGAUGAAGGCGGCGGGGAAGAAGGCGGCAGGGGAUGAAGGCGGCAAGGAAUAGAGGAUGGAAGGAGGCGGCAGGGGAGGAGGGGGAAGGGGAUAGAGGCGGCGGGGAAGGAGGCGGCAGGGGAGGAGGCGGCAGGGGAUGAAGGUGGCGGGGAAGAAGGCGGCAGGGGAAGGAGGCGGCGGGGAAGAAGGCGGCAGGCGAGGAGUGCCAGGGGAGGAGGUGGCAGGGGAGGAGGCGGCGGGGGAUGAUGGCGGCAGGGAAGGAGGUGGCAGGGGAGGAGGCGGCAGGGGAUGAAGGCGGCGGGGGAUAGAGGCGGCAGGCGAGAAGGUUGAAAGGGGAUAAGGUUGAAAAGGAAGAUCUUCUAGAGGCGGCAGUGGAGAAGAUGGCCGCUUCCAAACAAUAGCUACAUCAUCCUUCGGAUACAUGUCCCGCUUCCAAGAGCAUACGGGCUAAGUAUGAUGGUGACCUAGUCCUUACGGGCCCAGCAUGCGCACCACUAUGACUGAGGCGCCCCCCCUGGCAUUGGCCAGGUACCUCUCGGAAAUCUGGGAGGUCAGGCACGUCGCGCUGAGGCGCUUCGCCCUGAAGCGGACGAGGGAGAAUGAAGAUGACAUCCCGUGUACCCGCAUCAAUACCAAUACAACGUCCAUGGCCCCCCGGGCUUUUACGGACACAGCCGCACUUGUGUGCGGAACUUGUAACUUGUAACAUAGAGGCUUAGGCUCCCUUACUUGUCGUUCGUAUUCAUAGCUUAAGAUGCUAGUCAGCUGCAGAAUUUCGUGAAUAGGUUCUUGUCAGGUGUAUAGCUGUCUUAACGUAGCCAGACUUGCCUCAACCGCUGUAGUUAUAUUUACUGAAGUGAUACCAUAGAGAAUGAACUCUUCCGGAUUUCACUCAGGUUCAAAUCUAAGCUAUGACGGUUAUUUGGGGCUGGGAUUUUGGGAUAAAUUAAAUUACCAACGUACGCGUGGCCUCUUCAUUUCUGUUCUCCUGGAUGGUUGAUAUGGGAAGGCGGAAACAAGUUGCUAAGGGUCCUUACACUGCAGAAAAACACAACCCCAGCCCCACGGCCACUAUACCCCCCUCGUGCUGCCCACCAAUGCCCUUAGCAGGGCAACAAGCGCAUGACACAUAAACCUAUCCAAAGAACUUCGAACGACUCUCAGACUCUCAUGUGGCGACAUCUAUAGAGGUAGCUACCUCCUGAACCCGGGAAGAUCCCUGCAGGUUCAGCUGACUAGUUUCCCCCUACACCAAGCACUAUCCCUUCUGAGCUCCCAAGGCCACACUACUUGGCUAAAAGACUCGACCGUACCAACCCCGUCCCGGCCCGCCGGCUGUCCAGCCGCCCCUCAGCGGCCGUUUGCCACAAGCCUGCAGCUGGCAGAGCCUGGUGCGGAGGCGUCUGCGAUUGACCGGUGAAGAAGGGAAAGGGAAACUUGUUAAUCCAUGAUUGAUUUCUUUUCAGAACUAGCCAGAGACACAAUGGAUUUCAAGCUAAAUUGCAUUCCCCAAUCCACUUCGAACUGUAUGUAUGUUGUUACAGGGUGGUUAACUUCGCCAGCGGCCCCCUUUCCCGGGGCAGUCCCUGCUCUCCCCUGCUAGAGGGGCACCCUAAUCCGUCACCCCAUCCGACUUCAGAAUGUAUUAGUUGGGUUCGGCAACUCACCACCAGCAUCCAACCAAAUCUAGCGGAUCAACGGCGCAUCAACUUAGUUCCUGGUCAGCUCGCAAGUUGAUAUUAUCACGUCCUACACCGUCCAUAUGAUGGGGGGCCACCUCCCAUUUCAUCACUCCUCAAACACCCGAGGAGCUGGCAGGCGGAUUUGAACCCGGGUCGACUGGAUCGACUGGGAGCAGAAGUCAGGCCUUAACUUCUGCCAGCCGCCUGCCUGAACUGUAUGAAUGCGAAUGAAUAAUCUUAUUAGGGACAAUAAUACGGCACGGGAGUUUCAUGCCCUCAAAGGGGGAACAAACGCUAAAACUGAAUACAUACAUAGUUAUAUUGGCAAACGAUGCUUCCCGAGCUACCAGGAUACUGUAGGUUCAACAUGUACAUGUAACAUGUACAUUUACAGAAAUGUACAAAAAUGAAUUCACGAAGUGCGCAGCAAAUAAGAUGAGUAGCCUAUAGGCCCAUGUCCAUAGUCCAGGGCAACGAGGGGGUUACCCCGUGUUACCCCUCCUGCUGGGUAGGAACUUACAAGGGGGUUACCAAUCGGCUACGGGGGGUUGAAGGUGGGUAACCGAUGGGUAACCCAUGGGUUACCGACCCAAUCAGUGCCUUAGGGCUGCUGCUGCCGUGCUGGGUGCCACUGCUGCUGCCACAACUGCGCCUGGGCUCGUAUGUCUUGGUCAGCGCUGCACUGAUGCGACCACUGCUGUGGAAUGCAGCCAACUCUGAGGGGUAGGCCCGCAGGAACUCCUCCUGCUCCCGGAUAGGGGCGUGUCUGAGGAUGUUGCACAGCAGCACGUGGAACCAGCGAAGCCCAACCUUCAUGUCGGGCUGAGCCCCGCAGUCCUGCUCAAAUUUGGCCUUACUGCCAAGGCUGUUGUAGCGGUGGUCCCGGACCUGCAUGUAGAUGGAGCAUUGAGCACCAUAAUCAACACAGUUGCAUGGGAAGCAGGGGUGUACAGGCCAGCAGUAAUGCAGCCUGGCCCUGUUGGCUGGCUGCAGUCCACAUGAUGACUGCAGCUGUUAGAACAAGCAUCGUGCCUGGAAUUUGACAGGUGUUGCACUGCUGCCUCACACUCUAACCCCUUGGUCUGUUCGUGUUGUAGUGUUACAGAGCCAAAUCGCAAAGCAAUGAAGGCGUGAUUUGAUUAAGACUGAUCUAUGAACAGUCUAUGAACACCUUGAGAUUAAUAAGUGUUUCCUAAUUAAGGAUUGGCACUCUUUCAGGGUUCCUACCCUAACAGAACAUACACCUUGGUCUAACCAGGGACACUCUACGACAGAAGUCAUUGCAGCCUCCUAUGCAACGAGUAUUAUAUAUACUCGGGAGGGUUGGAUGAUUAAUAUUUAUAUAUUAACAAAGAGACAGAGUUUUUAUUACUCUAUCUUUAGACAAGAGCUCAGACCUUGGCGGAGCUAAUCCGUCCUGUGACUUUCGGUUCUUGCCAACAUUACACGCCAACAGUUCGACUGCCCUCCUGGUGCCUCUAAUGGUCCCCUCUACAAGAGAAAAAGCUCUUAGCAGGUGCUCCUCUGCACCACAACACCCACUCAGUUCGGCACCACAAGCAGCACAACUGUUGACCCGUGAGUGCUACGGUAGUCCUGUGACUACUGCACGCACCCUUUUAACAUCUCACAAGCUUGCUUGCUCAUUUUCUGAUUGGCCACCCUGCUUGCAACCCCGCUUUUCCCCUAGCCAGCGGCACACACUGCCAACAGUUUCCUGGCUGCCUUGUUACCAUUCCUCCUGUGUUUCGCAGGUGACCAUGUCACUGUCUGCGACUGUAGCCUCCUGACCUCCUCCUCCUUUCCUUCUGCUGUGGGUCCCCUGGCCAGACACGUCAAUCUCACAGUAUGGCAACUCGCCCACCCCCACACACACACCCUAAACCCCUUGGCUGGCAUUCUUACCUGGAUGAACCAGUCCGCCUUCAGCAGCCCGUCCGGUGUAAGCGCCAGCGCAGAUGCCAUGGCUUCCAGGAGGCUGUGCAGGUCCUCGUAGCUGUCAAAAUCCUCAUCCAUGCAGCGCUCGCCGAGCACAACCAGCUCUCUGUGCAGCGGGUAGCUGAGCAUCGGGAUGGCCAUGAUUGAGCCCAACAGCUGACUGUGCGGGGCUGUCGGUGGCGGGACAGUAGUUGUCAC